rnacentral:rRNA from 1 species
UACGGAGGAUCCAAGCGUUAUCCGGAUUUAUUGGGUUAAAGGGUGCGUAGGCGGCCUGUUAAGUCAGGGGUGAAAGACGGUAGCUCAACUAUCGCAGUGCCCUUGAUACUGAUGGGCUUGAAUGGACUAGAGGUAGGCGGAAUGUGACAAGUAGCGGUGAAAUGCAUAGAUAUGUCACAGAACACCGAUUGCGAAGGCAGCUUACUAUGGUCUUAUUGACGCUGAGGCACGAAAGCGUGGGGAUCAAACAGG